UACGGGGGGGGCAAGCGUUGUUCGGAAUUACUGGGCGUAAAGGGCUCGUAGGCGGCCAACUAAGUCAGACGUGAAAUCCCUCGGCUUAACCGGGGAACUGCGUCUGAUACUGGAUGGCUUGAGUUUGGGAGAGGGAUGCGGAAUUCCAGGUGUAGCGGUGAAAUGCGUAGAUAUCUGGAGGAACACCGGUGGCGAAGGCGGAUCUCUGGGCCUUACCUGACGCUGAGGCGCGAAAGCUAGGGGAGCGAACAGG
rnacentral:rRNA from 1 species